rnacentral:piRNA from 1 species
UCGCUAAAUAUGUGUAGUUGUAAGUAGC